CAGUCGCCGCGGUAAUACGAAGGGUGCAAGCGUUACUCGGAAUUACUGGGCGUAAAGCGUGCGUAGGUGGUGGUUUAAGUCCGUUGUGAAAGCCCUGGGCUCAACCUGGGAAUUGCAGUGGAUACUGGGUCACUAGAGUGUGGUAGAGGAUAGUGGAAUUUCCGGUGUAGCAGUGAAAUGCGUAGAGAUCGGAAGGAACAUCUGUGGCGAAGGCGACUAUCUGGGCCAACACUGACACUGAGGCACGAAAGCGUGGGGAGCAAACAGGAUUAGAUACCCGAGUAGUCUCUGUCUCUUAUAC
rnacentral:rRNA from 1 species